UACGUAGGGUGCAAGCGUUAAUCGGAAUUACUGGGCGUAAAGCGUGCGCAGGCGGUGAUGUAAGACAGAUGUGAAAUCCCCGGGCUCAACCUGGGAACUGCAUUUGUGACUGCAUCGCUGGAGUGCGGCAGAGGGGGAUGGAAUUCCGCGUGUAGCAGUGAAAUGCGUAGAUAUGCGGAGGAACACCGAUGGCGAAGGCAAUCCCCUGGGCCUGCACUGACGCUCAUGCACGAAAGCGUGGGGAGCAAACAG
rnacentral:rRNA from 1 species